GUGGGGAAUCUUAGACAAUGGGCGCAAGCCUGAUCUAGCCAUGCCGCGUGAGCGUUGAAGGCCUUAGGGUUGUAAAGCUCUUUCAGGGGGGAAGAUAAUGACGGUACCCCCAGAAGAAGCCCCGGCUAACUCCGUGCCAGCAGCCGCGGUAAUACGGAGGGGGCUAGCGUUGUUCGGAAUUACUGGGCGUAAAGCGCACGUAGGCGGACCAGAAAGUCAGGGAUGAAAUCCCGGGGCUCAACCCCGGAACUGCCUUUGAAACUCCUGGUCUUGAGGUCGAGAGAGGUGAGUGGAAUUCCGAGUGUAGAGGUGAAAUUAGUAGAUAUUCGGAGGGACACCAGUGGCGAAGGCGGCUCACUGGCUCGAUACUGACGCUGAGGUGCGAAAGCGUGGGGAGCAAACAGGAUUAGAUACCCGUGUAGUCC
rnacentral:rRNA from 1 species